ACAUCCUCCUGGCAGUGCAGUUGUGAUCCCUUCUGCCCACCCCAAAGCUGCUCCAUGCCAAGGAAUUUACCUUGCAAUCCUGUGUGUAGCCCAUGGCAAAGUGAGGAGGAAAACCAGGGAAUAACAGCAGCGUGUAAAUGAGAGAAGAAGGGGUGGCUCCAGACCCGGAUGUGCCUGGUGGAGUUGAGGGAUCUCAGCAGGGCGUUGCUGAUGACAUUCACCAGCACUGGGAAGCAGUUGACAGCCUCCAAGUGGCACAGCACAGUGAACCUGUAGCUCUUCAAAGAGCAGGGAAACAAGGAACAGAGAAGAGCCAACACACUUCAGCCUCCCGUGCGAGAUAAAAGCCUUGCGGUCUGGAGAAAGGAAAAGCCAAAGGAAUUUCUAGUGCAGAGGAGUCACUGCCAUCUUUUGGGGCUUUGUGCUGUGGGGUUAUCCCACAGGGAUGCCCCAGGCAGAGCUCACCUGCCAGGAUGUCAGCCUCGUCCAUGAACUGGGUGCUGAACAGGAUCACCCGCCCCGCCUGCUGCUCCCGCAGGAGACUCCACACCCGGUGCCUGGA